rnacentral:misc_RNA from 1 species
GAUGAAGAACGUAGCGAAAUGCGAUAAGUAGUGUGAAUUGCAGAAUUCAGUGAAUCAUCGAAUCUUUGAACGCACAUUGCGCCCCUUGGUAUUCCAUGGGGCAUGCCUGUUCGAGCGUCAUCUACAACCCUCAAGCCCUGCUUGGUGUUGGGCGUCUGUCCCGCCCCCGCGCGCGGACUCGCCCCAAAUCCAUUGGCGGCGGCCCUUGCCUUCCUCUCGCGCAGCACAUUGCGCUUCUCGAGGCGUCGCGGGCCGCGCUCCACGAAGCACGCAAACCAGUCUUUGACCUCGGAUCAGGUAGGGAUACCCGCUGAACUUAAGCAUAUCAAUAAGCGGAGGA